CAAAACUGGAUCUACUGCACUCACAUUCGCGUGUUGCUCGUUGUUCAAAGAGAGAAGACAAAUGCUACACUGACAUAUUUUUAACAAUGUUUUAAUUUUUAGGUAAUACAAUUUUACUGAGCAAGAAUCCAAUUUUAAUAAAGCAGCGGGCCUCAUCGUGUUUAAAUUGCAAAGAAACACAUGACUAGUUAUUGGACAUUGGUAUCUUUUCUGAAGGGAAAGUGCAUCUAGUUGGAUGCGUUAAACAGGUUGUCAAACCCAUUCCCAUCUGCAACGAGGAAAGACAAACUUCUUAUGCAAUUGCCAAAAAGCUUCAGUGGCUGUUAUUAAAAUUCUUCAACUAUCGACAAUGGACAUAAUUGAGGAAGACUUUUAAACUAGGCAUAUUCUGAUAGGUACCCAUUUCCUUUAACCUGUGUACUUAUUUUACCUAUGUUUCCCCCCACCACCCAUCAGAAAGUAAUUAGUUACUUUAUUUAA